CGGCCGCCAGCGCCAUCACCCUCUCCACGGCCGCGACCGCCGCGCUGGUCCUGCGCAUCCGGGAGUCCAUCGCCACCACCACCUCGCCCUCCCUGCUCUUCCGCAGCGCCUGCGCCCACACGGAUUGAUGGAAACAGGACAGAGAAGGUGGCAAUUUGGAAUUAUCUAAAAGCUGUUAACAUGCUGGUUUCGUGAAAGAUGAAACACCAUGCCAUAUUACUCCUUGUUGUUCCGGAGUAUAUGGUACUUAACCCAGAAGUUAUGGCCUUGAUCAGGAUUGACUUCUUAUUGUUGUUUUAUGCUACAGUUUUGCAUUUUUACAUGGAUCAAAUUUUGAUGGCCUUCCGCAUCUUAUUUGGCCAAGUGUCAAGUUAAACAUACAUGCCUUCUUUUCUGAUGCAAUUACAAUUUGAUGUUGUAGGAUCACAUGUACAUGAUAGAUAAACAGAGGAAGAAAACUGAACUUACUGGAACUAGUGGACACAUCAUGAGCAUCCUCUGAAGGUUUAACAUGACCCUCCCUAAUUUUUGAUCGGUGAGGAGCAAAGCAGUUUGCGCAUGCCCCUGCAAUUAUCGUAGCAGCUGCUUCCCAGAAUGAACUUGUUCCUCUGGCCUUCUUGUCAGCCAUAUUGGAACGAGCUGUAUAGGUGGGUGUCCUGGAGAUGCCAGGUUUUAUCUGAAACUCAAGAUUGGACGCAGAGAGAUCUCCAUGGCGUGCUCCCUGCAUAGCACAGUCAAAUGGAGUUAGAAGAUGGCGUUGAAAACUUGCUCCCACAUAACAAGGUAGCACGUCCGUCUGGUUCUUUUUCAUUAUAACUUUUGUGGACCUAACGCAAUAGACUGAUUCAAGCUUGACCCGGCCUGUACCUCUCAAUAACUAUGAAAGGAAUGCUUAUUUGGGUUUUAUAAGGUCAAGCCAGUGAAGUCAGGAGUAUACGCAUGCACGAAAACUACAGCUCACAGACCAGUAAUUUAAUGUGGGUGAAGGAUUCAGUGUGUUGGUAACUGAACCAUAUGGGAAGCGCCUUGAGAACCUGAAACACGAAGCUGCUCCUCUUUUGUA